ACUCCUGAGCAAGCUCGCUCCAGGCUCCGCGGCCCGCUGACCGCGCGCGCCCCUAUCUCAGCUUUGGCCGGGUCGCACCCCUGGGUUCCCGGAUGGAGCAGCCCGCGCCCCGCGCCGCCCGCAGACCCGUCAGGGUGCGCGCCCGCCGCCCGGCCCGCGCCCGCGUCCGCUUCCCGCGCUCGACGCCACCUGGGGCCGCGCGCCUAAUGCAGCCUUCCAGGUGCCGCGCCGCCACAAAGCCCUUCCGCCCCACCCGCCUUCCCUUUUUCUUCCCCCUUUCAAGAACCACGGACGAGUGGAUUCUACCACUUCAGUACCACCACACUGAUGAAAGCCUCCAGUCAAUGAAAUUUUUGAGAACCACAUCCAAGCCACCAGAAAAUGAUCAACAAUCUUAAAAAGGAUGAAAAGGGGCAUUAUGGGUGGAUUAAUUCAAAUUAGACAUCAUUAUUGAAAAAAAAAUCAUGUUCCUCUGAGGAUAUUGGGGUCUUUGAUGUGUGGUGCCUCAAGACACCUCAGUAUUACUUUCAAGCACCAUCCCAGGCCUACUGAAUCAGAACCCAUUCCCAGGGGAAGGUUAGACUUGAGUGGCAUGUGCAGGAAUCAACACUUGUGAAGAACCAGCGUGCACCCGAGAACCUGCACAGCAGAGAGUGUGGCCCACGGAUGGAGGAGACAGUUUGCAAAAUGAGGCUGGAGACUGGAUGUAACAUAGACAAGGAACUGGAAAGAACAUUGCUGCAGGAGUGACUGCUCUGUAGGUGGAUGUCUGUCCUCUAGCUCAAACCGUCAUGCAAGACACAGCUGCCCACUUCAUAUGCCCUGAUGCCACUCACCACCAGCCACCUGAGGUUCCGGCAUAACUCUGAAUAUCUCCCCAAGAGACAUUCAGAAGAUUCUCGAGAGUUGGAGGAAGACUGGACUACAGGGGGUGAAGAGGCAGUAUACAGAUGGCAGCCGAGACUGGCAUAUUAUGGCCACAACCCAAGGAAAGCCUGCAGCCUUAGCAGCUGAAAAAGAAGAGGAACACAUUAUCCCCUAGAAGCUCCAGAGAGAACCAGCCAUUCCCAUAAUUUGAUUUGAAUUUUGUAAGACUCAUUUUGGUCUUGUGAUUGCUAAACUUGUAAAUGAAUAAAUUUGAGGGUUUUUUUAAUGAAAAAUAAUAAAAACAGUGAUACAGAAUUUCAAAACAAAGUAAUAGAUUAACAAUGGUUAAUAUAUUGAAUAUUGUUAUCUUCAAAGUAGUUGCUCAGAUUACAAGAUAUAGGCAUGAAAAAAUGACCAAAUAAUGGAAACAUAAAUUGUCCUUUUUGAUAUACUAAUAGAGAUUAGUACUAUGAUUAUCUAUCAUAUCUAUCUAUCCUUUUCCCAUCUUUUUUUUUCCACCCAGCCCACUUAUUCUUUCCUUUUUUGCAGUGAAAGGGGGGAAGAAAUUGCUUUUUUUUUUUUUUUAAAAAAAAGAAAUUUGUGGUGUUUUGUUACAGUGGCAACAGGAAAUUGCUGGUUAGUGAUUUUAUCAUCGUUGGUGUUACAUUUUCUGCCUUUUUUUUUUCUGCCUUCUGAAGGUGAGUAGACUACCCAAAUAGAGCCUAAAGCACCCAGAGGGAUGUCCUUGUUCCACUCAUAGGAAAGGAAGACAAGGACCCAGAGCUUCUAUUUCCCAAAGUAUAAACCUUGGCAUUGUACUCCCCCGUGAACAGGAAUUCAAAGUAGCAGCACAGAGUAUGGUUAUUAGUCUUUUGUACAAAAAUUCUAGCUCGUGGGUUCUAUUUUCAUCCUUAGUUAUUUCCAGGGAUGCAGCACUGACUUGGUUUCAAAUCGAUAUAAGGCAGAUUGCUUUAUAGACAGACUAUAACAGGUGCCAGCCUAUAUAUUUCCCACCUCUGCAGUCCAUACCUCCCCGAGAAAGAAAGUAUUUUAAGUUCUCCACUUGUCCUUGACCUGUGGCUCCAGCUACCCAUAACAUUCAGAGAGAUAGUGUUAAAAAUAAGCAGUUGUGGCUCGGUUAUACAGGUUAAACAUCAUUAAAUGGAGAAACAGCUUCCUUAAAAGUAAACCUAUUGAGGAAAUCAUCUGAUGCUUCAUACUCUCACACAUAAAAAGCAAGCAGCCAGCAUAGGAGGAAAAUAAUCAAUUUUGUUUAUUACUACGGGCAAGAUUUACUAAGUGUUUAUUUGCACAUGACUGAGUCCCAGGCAUGGUGGCCUUGCUUUCUUGGAACUACAAUGAGCCUGAAUAAUUUAGAUUAGGUGACUACACUAAUUGAAUUUACCACAUAAUUAGCUCACAAUUUUCACUUCAUUUUACCAUGCAAAUCCUUUCUAAAAAGGAAAACCCAUUCUAAUUUAUCUGUUUUAUACAUACCUUAAGUCAAUGCUUGGAAUACCAAAUUAUAUAUUUAGGUGAAGAAUAUGCCCCUUUGAGUUAUACUUUUGAAGGUUUCAUGUAGUAUUAAUAUAAUUGUUUUUGUUUCUUAAAAGUAACAUAAUCACUUUGCAAACAAUUUGGAGAAUUAAGAAAAAUAUACACUAUUUCUUGGACAAAUGUUCAUAGCAAUGAUUAUUUUUCAGUUGUUUGUUUUUAUGCCUUUAACAUUUAUGUAAUUAAAAUUAGAGUGUAAAUGGUAUUUAACAUGCUUAAUAAAAUAUUAAAAACACUUGCUCAAUUUUUUCACUGAAAAAUGGGUAGUCAUUAAAGUCUACAAAGUAUUUCCCUAAUACAUCAAUCAUAAAUAUAAAACUUCAUAAUAUUUAGAACUACAAAAAAUGAUUUUGCAGAUAAUUUUCUGAAAAAUAAGCUCAGAAAAUUUGAAAGAACAUCAAACAUGACUGCUUUGUCUUUUUCUGUGUUUUAAGGAAUAUAUUUAUUACUUUUAAGACAUGUACCAUGCAGCUGUUACAUGUAAUGGAGUCUUGUCUGGAUGGACUGGAGCUCUCAAACUGCCAGUAAAUAAAACAACCUGUCAAGACGGGCCAGUACAUAUCACUGAAAUCCGAAAAGUAAAGCGCUUAAAGCUAAACUCAUAUUUCCAACAGUUUUCAUCUGAUGUUUUGUUUGUUUGUUUGUUUUUGGUACUAUAGAUUGAACUCAGGACCUUCCACUGAGCUAUUAAACCAUUGUGCAAAUCAAAUCCUAACUUUCAGAAUAUGACUUUGACAAUUUGUACAUUGCAUUGAAUUAAAAAUGCUAAGGAUUAGAAAUGUUAUUUGUCUGAGUAAGUGAAUAUGCUUUUCCUCUAAGAGAACUCAUUUGAUAUAAGUGAUCAAAAUUAUUUUAACCCAUUUUUGCUUAUAAAUCUUUAAAACGUCUUCAAUAUAAAGCAGAUAGAGAAUUCACCAUAUUUUCUCUUUGUUUUGAUUUCUCCAUCAAAAAGUGGAGGCAUUUACUUACAACUUGUUUUAAAAUUACACUCAAAAACAAUUAUCCAUAAAGCAUUUGGAACUAUAUAAUUUCCUUUAGAAACAAACAAAUGCAAUAAAAUUCAAAUUUAUACAGAUGCUGACAGCAAAUAGUUACAAUAAAAAUAAACAUAUUACCCAAUGCAUAUCUCUGUAGCAUCUUUAAGGCAGGUUAGAAGAAUACAGGGGACGCGGAGUUAGAAGUGAAUGAAUUUGGCUUUAAAUACUGACUGUUCUUUGGAUUUUUUUUUUUUUUGGCCAAGUCAUUCAAUCAUUUUACAUCAUCUGCUGCACACAGAAUGAUUAUUAUGUGAUAGUUUUUCCAAAUACGUAGUCUCGGAAUGGACAUUGUUCUAGAGCUCUGCUCUUCAAUAUGGCAGCCACUUGAAACACCUGACUAUUUAAAUUUUAAUUACUGGAAAUUACAUGAAAUUAAAAAUUCAUUUUCUCAGUUGCACUAGCCCCAUUUCAAGGAUUCACAAUGUGACUAGCAGCUGCCUGAUGGGACAGUAGAUUUAUCGAAACCAUUUUUAGAGUCUCAUGCAAAGUCCUAUUGGAUAUCACAGGUAAAUUAUAACUUAUGGAGAAAAAAAAUUGUGUUCAAAUAUUUGGAGAACACUGGAUUGACCAAAAUGAAACAUAUUUCUCUAAGGCAGCACAUCUUGAAGACUUCAAUAUGUCAAAUGUGGACAUUCAAGAUUAAAGUUUUUCAAACUGUUUGUCAUCUAAUAACAAUGUUUCUCCACUUUUUUUUUGUAAACACAACUCAAGUUUUGUAAUUAAGUGGGAUCAUGUUUUCUCUUAUAAUCUGAAUUGUUUGUAAUGUAAAUGCAAUAAAAUAAUAUGUAAUAUACAUGUAAUAUAAUGUAAAUGUAGAUAAAAAUAGUCUUUAUUUGGAAAAAUCCUUUAAUCUCAGCCUGGAGCCCCAGUUUUGAAAUACUAAUGUGUAUCUGGGCCAUUAUUAGAAGAAUUUUGCUCCUGUUAAGAGGAGAAUACCACGGCACCUUCUCAUUCCCUUUGCUCUGGUCUCACAUGUGGUGUCUGAGGUUUCAUACUUGAACCCCAGCCUUCUGAUGCUGCCUACCACAGAGGAAAGGAAGGUAACAAGCUCUGUAUGGAGCCCUGAUUUUGUCGUGUUUCUUAAUCAGUGACAGAGCCAUACCUGCACCCCAUUUGUGGGACGAAUAUUAAAUAAUAUCUGUGUAGUAUUCAGAUUGUUGCCUGGCACACAGUAUACUUAUGAAAGCAUUUUUAUUGCUAUUUAUGCCACCCUUGCAUAAUAUUGCUGUGGAUGAAUAUUUUAUCAUCUCAACUCAAAAGUGUUUUCACAUAAGGUAAAUUCUGCCACAUUACUACCAAGUACAUUAAAAUGCUUGUCAUAACUCUCAACGUUUUCAAAUAAAAUCUAAUUUUUUAAAGUU